UACGUAGGGGGCAAGCGUUGUCCGGAUUUAUUGGGCGUAAAGCGCUCGCAGGUGGUCCGUCGCGUCGGGCGUGAAAGCCCCCGGCUCAACUGGGGAGUGUCGUGCGAUACGGGCGGACUGGAGGCCAGUAGGGGGAUGCGGAAUUCCGGGUGUAGUGGUGGAAUGCGUAGAGAUCCGGAGGAACACCAGCGGCGAAGGCGGCAUCCUGGACUGGUCCUGACACUCAUGAGCGAAAGCGUGGGGAGCGAUCCGG
rnacentral:rRNA from 1 species